AAGUUCAGCUGGCACAAUGUAUUGUCCACCCUUCUGCCUCUCCAGCCAGAAAGGCAAUUUAUUUCCUUAUUGACCAAGCUACCCACGUUCAGAAUUGCAGGUCAGAAGGAGAUGUACCAGAAUUACUACCAAGUGAAGAUAUUCUUACUCAGCCUUCGCACCUUCAUCCCAGGUGAGGAAACCAAGCACAAUACCAAACAUAACUGGCCAAAUUCACUCAGUUACCCAGUGGUGGAACAGAGAUUCAAACUCAGAUUUGUCUGACCCCAGGACCUGCAAAGAAACUGAAGUGCAUAUGAUUAUAUGAGGAAACCCACCUGUCGCUGCUGCUAAUUGGAGUAUACUCAGGGCAACUGGAAGCUAUGCUCCUGGGUAACAAUUUUCAAGCUUUGAGCCCCAAUAAAUGCUAUACUUAAUCAUA